rnacentral:hammerhead_ribozyme from 1 species
AUCCAGUUGAUGAGUUCCAAAAUAGGACGAAAUGCGCAUCCUAGUAGAU